rnacentral:rRNA from 1 species
GGCGGCAGGCCUAACACAUGCAAGUCGAACGCUCGUAGCAAUACGAGAGUGGCAGACGGGUGAGUAACACGUGGGAACCUUCCCUUUGGUUCGGAAUAGCUCAGGGAAACUUGAGGUAAUACCGGAUAAGCCCUUACGGGGAAAGAUUUAUCGCCAUAGGAUGGGCCCGCGUCGGAUUAGCUAGUUGGUGAGGUAACGGCUCACCAAGGCGACGAUCCGUAGCUGGUCUGAGAGGAUGAUCAGCCACACUGGGACUGAGACACGGCCCAGACUCCUACGGGAGGCAGCAGUGGGGAAUAUUGGACAAUGGGCGCAAGCCUGAUCCAGCCAUGCCGCGUGAGUGACGAAGGCCUUAGGGUUGUAAAGCUCUUUUGGCGGGGAAGAUAAUGACGGUACCCGCAGAAUAAGCUCCGGCUAACUUCGUGCCAGCAGCCGCGGUAAUACGAAGGGAGCUAGCGUUGUUCGGAAUCACUGGGCGUAAAGCGCACGUAGGCGGAUGUGUCAGUCAGGGGUGAAAUCCCGGAGCUCAACUUCGGAACUGCCUUUGAUACAGCACGUCUUGAGUCCGAUAGA